AUUGAACGCUGGCGGCAGGCCUAACACAUGCAAGUCGAACGAGUGGCGGACGGGUGAGUAAUGUUUGGGAAACUGCCCGAUGGAGGGGGAUAACUACUGGAAACGGUAGCUAAUACCGCAUACCAUCGGAUGUUCCCAGAUGGGAUUAGCUAGUAGGUGGGGUAACGGCUCACCUAGGCGACGAUCCCUAGCUGGUCUGAGAGGAUGACCAGCCACACUGGAACUGAGACACGGUCCAGACUCCUACGGGAGGCAGCAGUGGGGAAUAGUGCACAAUGGGCGCAAGCCUGAUGCAGCCAUGCCGCGGGUAUGAAGAAGGCCUUCGAGUUGUAAAUGACGUUCAGCGAGGAGGCGUUACUCGCAGAAGAAGCACCGGCUAACUCCGUGCCAGCAGCCGCGGUAAUUC
rnacentral:rRNA from 1 species